rnacentral:lncRNA from 1 species
UCACUAACGCUUGCCUGGGGAAUCCCUCUGCCUUCUCUCCAGGUAACGACCAGACUCCAGUCCUGUACCUCAACGCUUCCAGUGCCAAGGAGGGGGAAAUAAUUCUCUUUCAGUGUGCCAUUGAUUGGCAGUUUCCUGCUACACGAGUUGUCUUCUGCAAGAAUGGGCAGGAGGAGUUCAGUCUGAAAGCCCAGCAGGGCAAGGUCACCUAUACUCUGGUCCUGAACAUCACCUCCAGAAAUGCUGGGACGUACAAGUGUGGGUACCAGCAGAGGAACGAGGGCAACUGGGUGAGGAACUCUGCUCUCAGUGCUCCCCAGACCCUGUCUGUACCAGUGAGUCCAGCUCCUCAGCAAGGCCGUUGCCCCCAGGCAGUGUGUCCAACUCCCCAGCAGGGCCAUCACACCCGGCUCCACAUUCUCGGAUCCCACACGCCCUCGCCACAGGCACAGCGCUGGCAGUGGCAGCCGUCGGCCUCGUCCUCCUGGCUGCAGGCAGCUGGUUUGCCAUCAGGAAAGGUGCCUGCAGAGCGAGAUGCCCAAGGCAGCAGCACGUUGACAGCCCACAAGAAGAAGACACCAACAACGACAAUAUUCAGUACUCCACCAUCGCCCACGUUCGACGGGACAGGCAGCACCAGAAGGGAUAUGUGUGGAACAGGCUAUAAACAAUGA